GGAAUAUUGUAUUAUUGUCAGAUCUGGUUGACAUGUUGGUUGGUUUUCCUGAAAACUUGCUUUUUUCCCCUUUGUUAUAAGGAAUUACCCACUGGCUAAGAGAGGGGGGAGGAUAUUUUUAGAAAUGAAAGUAAUAUUAAAUUUCUUUAAAUCACUAACAUUUAACAAAUAGUAAAAAUAAAGGUAAAGUGUUCUUAUUCUUAUUCUUUGGCCCUGAAGGCACUGCCAAGGAGACCCAAGCUGACACACCAAGUUCUUAAGCCAGGAAUUAAGCUGUAGAAAAGCCUGGGAGUGAGCUGGAACGCCUAAUUUGGUCCUCCUCAGCAAAAAAAGUCUCUCCAUGAAGAUGGUCUUCUCCAUACCAGAAAUGACUCCCUUCCCCUAGAUUUCCCUGUGGACAAUGAUUGUGACCUCAUCUCAGGUGUAACACAUUGGAAAAGAGAUGGAAUACCAUCCACUGCCUGGGCAGGGACAUUUGAUCAAGGCUCCCUGGGGCUUCAUCCCUGAUCAAUACAUGGGAAAACAGAAAAACAACCCCCAAACUGAAUGACCGAGCCUUCCCUCCCAGCCACACUCCCUACUUCAGAGCUGCUCUGGGCACAUACUCAGGGCUGCUCUGGGGCCGUUGCCCUCUCCUGACAUUUGGAGAGAGGAGCUGGGAAGAAGAAGGAGGGGAUAAGGAAAUGAAUGCUGCCAGAAGGGCUGCCCCAAUCUGUAUCACCUCGAUGGCUGUGAAUCUGGCAGACAAAUCCGACUCCUUUCCCCCGCGGGGCCGGGGGAAGAAUGCCUUCGCAUGGACCCUGCCGGCCUUCGCACAGUGGGGUACCACAGUCAUUACAGAGCCCAGCUCCAAGCUUGUGGGCAGGCCUCACCCUGCUGGCUCUGUAGCACCCGAGAAAACAAAAAGAGAAGCCCAGAAAACUUUCUUAAAGGUGCCACAAAUCCCUUCUAGACCUUGGACCCAGGGGGGGAAAGAGAGAAUGAAAGAAAGGGAAGGGAGCCCGAAGAGGGGAUGAGCUAAGAGACAGAGAGCUGGCUAAACAGAGCUGCCCAGAAGACCUUUCAGAGGUCACAAAAGGGUGCAGCAAAGCUUCAAGGGAAGAGUGGGCUCUUCUGCCUUUGCUCAACUUCUACUGGUGCUUUGAUAGAGUUCCCCACCUCCCUUUCUUUGUUUCUCCCUUUCUCUCCUAAAGGGUCACCGGGUGCCAAGAGAGAUGGUAUUUUCAAGGCAGAUGGUUUAUAUGCAUUAUCACCCAUUAUCCCUCCUACUGGACUCCCAAAACGUCCCAGAAGCUUGUGGAGGCUGCUUUGGCAGCAGUCAGGCAAGAAUGAGGAGGGAGCCCUCAUCCUGACCUUGAGAAGGAACAGACCAGGUAAGAAGUCCACCUGUUCUCCUGGGCAGGAAAUGACAGGGCUCAACCUUAGCCCUUAAGGCUGGUGCC
rnacentral:lncRNA from 1 species